rnacentral:rRNA from 1 species
UACGAAGGGGGCUAGCGUUGCUCGGAAUCACUGGGCGUAAAGGGCGCGUAGGCGGCUAUUCAAGUCAGGGGUGAAAGCCUGAGGCUCAACCUCAGAAUUGCCUUUGAUACUGUUUAGCUAGAGACCGGAAGAGGUAAGUGGAACUGCGAGUGUAGAGGUGAAAUUCGUAGAUAUUCGGAAGAACACCAGUGGCGAAGGCGGCUCACUGGCCCGGUACUGACGCUGAGGUGCGAAAGCGUGGGGAGCAAACAGG